CCCUUAGAUGUUCUGGGCCGCACACGCGCUACACUGAAGGAGGCAGCGUGUACUCCUGGAUCGAAAGAUUUGGGUAACCCGCGAAUCUCCUUCGUGCUAGGGAUUGAGGUUUGCAAUUAUCCUUCAUGAACGAGGAAUUCCCAGUAAGUGCAAGUCAUAAGCUUGCGCUGACUACGUCCCUGCCCUUUGUACACACCGCCCGUCGCUCCUACCGAUUGAAUAAUCCGGUGAGGCCCCCGGACUGUGGCGCUGCAUCUGGUUCGCCAGCCGCGGCGCCGCGGGAAGCUGUCCAAACCUUAUUAUUUAGAGGAAGGAGAAGUCGUAACA
rnacentral:rRNA from 1 species